UGCAGAUGAUGUGAAGAAAAUCUGAUUAGUCAAUGCUGACAUUUUUUUAUCACCAAGAUCACUGAUGCA